rnacentral:SRP_RNA from 2 species
CGUCGGGCACCGGUUAACGUUUUAGUACCCAACCCCGUCAGGUCCGGAAGGAAGCAGCGGUAAGUAUUUAACUCGUGUAAUCGGAAAGCCCGGCAUCU